rnacentral:tRNA from 1 species
GUGGCUGUAGCACAAUGGUAGUGCACUAGAUUGUGGUUCUGGCCGUUGCGGGUUCGAGUCCCGUCAGCCACCCCA